GAUGAACGCUAGCUACAGACUUAACACAUGCAAGUCGAGGGGCAGCAUGGUCUUAGCUUGCUAAGGCCGAUGGCGACCGGCGCACGGGUGAGUAACACGUAUCCAACCUGCCGUCUACUCUUGGACAGCCUUCUGAAAGGAAGAUUAAUACAAGAUGGCAUCAUGAGUCCGCAUGUUCACAUGAUUAAAGGUAUUCCGGUAGACGAUGGGGAUGCGUUCCAUUAGAUAGUAGGCGGGGUAACGGCCCACCUAGUCUUCGAUGGAUAGGGGUUCUGAGAGGAAGGUCCCCCACAUUGGAACUGAGACACGGUCCAAACUCCUACGGGAGGCAGCAGUGAGGAAUAUUGGUCAAUGGGCGAGGGCCUGAACCAGCCAAGUAGCGUGAAGGAUGACUGCCCUAUGGGUUGUAAACUUCUUUUAUAAAGGAAUAAAGUCGGGUAUGCAUACCCGUUUGCAUGUACUUUAUGAAUAAGGAUCGGCUAACUCCGUGCCAGCAGCCGCCGUAACAC
rnacentral:rRNA from 1 species